UACAUCCCGAUGCUAUUUCUAGAGAUAGAAAGUUACUUCGGUACAUCGGUGACAGGUGGUGCAUGGUUGUCGUCAGCUCGUGUCGUGAGAUGUUGGGUUAAGUCCCGCAACGAGCGCAACCCCUAUUGUUAGUUGCCAUCAUUCAGUUGGGCACUCUAGCGAGACUGCCGGUAAUAAACCGGAGGAAGUGGGGAUGACGUCAAAUCAUCAUGCCCCUUAUGACCUGGGCUACACACGUGCUACAAUGGUUGGUACAACGAGUUGCGAGUCGGUGACGGCGAGCUAAUCUCUUAAAGCCAAUCUCAGUUCGGAUUGUAGGCUGCAACUCGCCUACAUGAAGUCGGAAUCGCUAGUAAUCGCGGAUCAGCACGCCGCGGUGAAUACGUUCCCGGGCCUU
rnacentral:rRNA from 1 species